rnacentral:lncRNA from 1 species
UGUUUGAAGCACUUGAAAGGAUGCCCAUGUACAAGAAAUUCGUGGAAGAGGUAAUGGCUGAAAAGAAACCAACCACUGAAGAAAGAAAUUCAUGACAAUGUUUAAAAGGAUUAAGGGUCAUAUGGCCUUGUUUGAAGCACUUGAAAGGAUGCCCAUGUACAAGAAAUUCGUGGAAGAGGUAAUGGCUGAAAAGAAACCAACCACUGAAGAAGAG